CUCCUACGGGAGGCAGCAGUGGGGAAUAUUGCGCAAUGGGCGAAAGCCUGACGCAGCGACGCCGCGUGAGGGAUGAAGGCCUUCGGGUUGUAAACCUCUUUCAGCAGGGACGAAGCGAAAGUGACGGUACCUGCAGAAGAAGCACCGGCCAACUACGUGCCAGCAGCCGCGGUAAUAC
rnacentral:rRNA from 1 species